rnacentral:rRNA from 1 species
AGCGAACGCUAGCGGCGGGCCUAACACAUGCAAGUCGAGCGGAGGGGCAACCCUCAGCGGCGAACGGGUGAGUAACACGUAGGUAAUGUACCCUCUGGUGGGGAAUAACCGUGGGAAACCAUGGCUAAUACCGCAUAUGUCUUUCGAGAUGAAAGCAGCAAUGCGCCAGAGGAGCAGCCUGCGGCCGAUUAUUUAGUCCUAGUUGGUGAGGUAAUGGCUCACCAAGGGUACGAUCGGUAGCUGGUCUGAGAGGAUGAUCAGCCACACUGGAACUGAGACACGGUCCAGACUCCUACGGGAGGCAGCAGUGGGGAAUAUUGCGCAAUGGGCGAAAGCCUGACGCAGCCACGCCGCGUGAGUGAUGAAGGCCUUC